rnacentral:rRNA from 1 species
GUGAGGAAUAUUGGUCAAUGGGCGGGAGCCUGAACCAGCCAAGUCGCGUGAAGGAAGAAGGAUCUAUGGUUCGUAAACUUCUUUUGCAGGGGAAUAAAGUGCAGGACGUGUCCUGUUUUGUAUGUACCCUGAGAAUAAGGAUCGGCUAACUCCGUGCCAGCAGCCGCGGUAAUACGGAGGAUCCGAGCGUUAUCCGGAUUUAUUGGGUUUAAAGGGUGCGUAGGUGGUUUGAUAAGUCAGCGGUGAAAGUUUGCAGAUUAACUGUAAAAAUGCCGUUGAAACUGUCGGACUUGAGUGUAAAUGAGGUAGGCGGAAUGCGUGGUGUAGCGGUGAAAUGCAUAGAUAUCACGCAGAACUCCGAUUGCGAAGGCAGCUUACUAAGCUACAACUGACACUGAAGCACGAAAGCGUGGGGAUCAAACAGGAUUAGAAACCCGUGUAGUCC